rnacentral:rRNA from 1 species
GAUGAACGCUAGCUACAGGCUUAACACAUGCAAGUCGAGGGACCGGCGCACGGGUGAGUAACACGUAUCCAACCUGCCCUUUACUCGGGGAUCGCCUUUCGAAAGAAAGAUUAAUACCCGAUAUAAAGGAUGGGGAUGCGUUCCAUUAGGUUGUUGGUGAGGUAACGGCUCACCAAGCCUUCGAUGGAUAGGGGUUCUGAGAGGAAGGUCCCCUACAUUGGAACUGAGGCCCGGUCUAAACUCGUACGUGGGGCAGCGGUUAGUAAUAUUGGUCAAGGGGCGCUAGCCUGAACCUGCCAAGUAGCGUAAAUGAUGAAUGCUUAUGGGUCGUAAUCUUCUUUUAUAUAAGAAUAUGUCUUAUAUUAAUAAUGAUCGGCUAACUCCGUGCCAGCAGCCGCGGUAAUAC